UUAAAAUAAGUAACAAUUAUUAAUAAAUCGAUCGUUCCGAUCGUUCAGUUAAUCGUUAGCCGAUCAAUGGAACUGAUUCAAAAGGAAAUAAUCGAAAUCAAUCGUUAGAUUGAUCACUCGAUUGACGCUAUUUGAAACGACAAAGCCAACGACUACCGUGUUGCAUGGUAAAAAACUACAAGGAGAGCUUGUGUCGAAAAUAUAUUCUAUGCCCGUUGAGGAACAUGAAAGGCGUUUGACGUGUACCGGUGCAUCAUGUAGAGACAUACAUUAUGUAUCCACCGAGCAAAACGAAUUCGCCGAAACUCUACGAAGGAUAAAUUUAACCGCUUCGUACGCGCGGGUUCCUCUUCGAAAGUUUCUCAUCGUCAGUGCCACGUAGCAGAAGACGCGUUAUGCGGCUAUUUUUCUUUUUUCCUCCUUUUUUUUUUCCUUUCUUUUUCUCUUUUUUUUUUUCUUUUUUUUUUCUUUUUUUUUUUUUUUUUUCAAAGGAUCAGUUUGCGGUUGGUCGACCGGCGCAAACGAUUAAUGAGCCCCCAUCGGGUUUUCCAUAAAAAAUAAGUGGCCUGACACUUACCGCAGUCUCACCCGCCUAAGACUUCGAUCUUCACGAGGAU